GACGAACGCUGGCGGCGUGCUUAACACAUGCAAGUCGAACGGAAAGGCCCUGCUUUUGUGGGGCGCUCGAGUGGCGAACGGGUGAGUAACACGUGAGUAAUCUGCCCUUGACUUUGGGAUAACUUCAGGAAACUGGGGCUAAUACCGGAUAGGAGCUCCUGCUGCAUGGUGGGGGUUGGAAAGUUUCGGCGGUUGGGGAUGGACUCGCGGCUUAUCAGCUUGUUGGUGGGGUAGUGGCUUACCAAGGCUUUGACGGGUAGCCGGCCUGAGAGGGUGACCGGCCACAUUGGGACUGAGAUACGGCCCAGACUCCUACGGGAGGCGGCAGUGGGGAAUAUUGCACAAUGGGCGGAAGCCUGAUGCAGCAACGCCGCGUGCGGGAUGACGGCCUUCGGGUUGUAAACCGCUUUCGCCUGUGACGAAGCGUGAGUGACGGUAAUGGGUAAAGAAGCACCGGCUAACUACGU
rnacentral:rRNA from 1 species